GUCGACAACAGAGUUUGAUCAUGGCUCAGAUUGAACGCUGGCGGCAGGCCUAACACAUGCAAGUCGAACGGUAACAGGAAGAAGCUUGCUUCUUUGCUGACGAGUGGCGGACGGGUGAGUAAUGUCUGGGAAACUGCCUGAUGGAGGGGGAUAACUACUGGAAACGGUAGCUAAUACCGCAUAACGUCGCAAGACCAAAGAGGGGGACCUUCGGGCCUCUUGCCAUCGGAUGUGCCCAGAUGGGAUUAGCUAGUAGGUGGGGUAACGGCUCACCUAGGCGACGAUCCCUAGCUGGUCUGAGAGGAUGACCAGCCACACUGGAACUGAGACACGGUCCAGACUCCUACGGGAGGCAGCAGUGGGGAAUAUUGCACAAUGGGCGCAAGCCUGAUGCAGCCAUGCCGCGUGUAUGAAGAAGGCCUUCGGGUUGUAAAGUACUUUUCAGCGGGGAGGAAGGGAGUAAAGUUAAUACCUUUGCUCAUUGACGUUACCCGCAGAAGAAGCACCGGCUAACUCCGUGCCAGCAGCCGCGGUAAUACGGAGGGUGCAAGCGUUAAUCGGAAUUACUGGGCGUAAAGCGCACGCAGGCGGUUUGUUAAGUCAGAUGUGAAAUCCCCGGGCUCAACCUGGGAACUGCAUCUGAUACUGGCAAGCUUGAGUCUCGUAGAGGGGGGUAGAAUUCCAGGUGUAGCGGUGAAAUGCGUAGAGAUCUGGAGGAAUACCGGUGGCGAAGGCGGCCCCCUGGACGAAGACUGACGCUCAGGUGCGAAAGCGUGGGGAGCAAACAGGAUUAGAUACCCUGKUAGUCCACGCCGUAAACGAUGUCGACUUGGAGGUUGUGCCCUUGAGGCGUGGCUUCCGGAGCUAACGCGUUAAGUCGACCGCCUGGGGAGUACGGCCGCAAGGUUAAAACUCAAAUGAAUUGACGGGGGCCCGCACAAGCGGUGGAGCAUGUGGUUUAAUUCGAUGCAACGCGAAGAACCUUACCUGGUCUUGACAUCCACAGAACUUUCCAGAGAUGGAUUGGUGCCUUCGGGAACUGUGAGACAGGUGCUGCAUGGCUGUCGUCAGCUCGUGUUGUGAAAUGUUGGGUUAAGUCCCGCAACGAGCGCAACCCUUAUCCUUUGUUGCCAGCGGUCCGGCCGGGAACUCAAAGGAGACUGCCAGUGAUAAACUGGAGGAAGGUGGGGAUGACGUCAAGUCAUCAUGGCCCUUACGACCAGGGCUACACACGUGCUACAAUGGCGCAUACAAAGAGAAGCGACCUCGCGAGAGCAAGCGGACCUCAUAAAGUGCGUCGUAGUCCGGAUUGGAGUCUGCAACUCGACUCCAUGAAGUCGGAAUCGCUAGUAAUCGUGGAUCAGAAUGCCACGGUGAAUACGUUCCCGGGCCUCGUACACACCGCCCGUCACACCAUGGGAGUGAGUUGCAAAAGAAGUAGGUAGCUUAACCUUCGGGAGGGCGCUUACCACUUUGUGAUUCAUGACUGGGGUGAAGUCGUAACAAGGUAACCGUA
rnacentral:rRNA from 1 species